rnacentral:rRNA from 1 species
AUUGAACGCUGGCGGCAGGCCUAACACAUGCAAGUCGAACGAGUGGCGGACGGGUGAGUAAUGUCUGGGAAACUGCCUGAUGGAGGGGGAUAACUACUGGAAACGGUAGCUAAUACCGCAUACCAUCAGAUGUGCCCAGAUGGGAUUAGCUUGUUGGUGGGGUAACGGCUCACCAAGGCGACGAUCCCUAGCUGGUCUGAGAGGAUGACCCGCCACUCGGUUAGUGAGCCACAGCCCAGUCUCCUGCGCGAGGGAGCAGUCGAGAUGAUUGCACGAUUGUCGCUAGCCUGGUUCAUCCACGCCGCGUGUAUUGUGAAGGCCUUGGGCGUGUGAAGUACUUUCAGCGUGGAGGCGUUACCCGCAGAAGAAGCACCGGCUAACUCCGUGACAGCCGCCGCGGUAAUUC